rnacentral:rRNA from 1 species
GACGAACGCUGGCGGCGUGCUUAACACAUGCAAGUCGAACGGAAAGGCCCUGCUUUUGUGGGGUGCUCGAGUGGCGAACGGGUGAGUAACACGUGAGUAACCUGCCCUUGACUUUGGGAUAACUCCAGGAAACUGGGGCUAAUACCGGAUAGGAGCUCCUGCUGCAUGGUGGGGGUUGGAAAGUUUCGGCGGUUGGGGAUGGACUCGCGGCUUAUCAGCUUGUUGGUGGGGUAGUGGCUUACCAAGGCUUUGACGGGUAGCCGGCCUGAGAGGGUGACCGGCCACAUUGGGCCUGAGAUACGGCCCAGACUCCUACGGGAGGCAGCAGUGGGGAAUAUUGCACAAUGGGCGGAAGCCUGAUGCAGCAACGCCGCGUGCGGGAUGACGGCCUUCGGGUUGUAAACCGCUUUCGCCUGUGACGAAGCGUGAGUGACGGUAAUGGGUAAAGAAGCACCGGCUAACUACGUG